GUACGCUGGCGGCACGCCUAACACAUGCAAGUCGAACGAAGUAGCAAUACUUAGUGGCAGACGGGUGAGUAACAUGUAGGUAUCUACCCUUUGGCCUGGAAUAACACGAGGAAACUUGUGCUAAUACUGGAUAAGUCUUUACAGAGAAAGCUUUAUGCGCCAUUGGAUGAGCCCGCACUUGAUUAGUUAGUUGGUAGGGUAAAAGCCUACCAAGACUGUGAUCAAUAGCUGAUUUGAGAGGAUGAUCAGCCACAUUGGGACUGAGACACGGCCCAAACUCCUACGGGAGGCAGCAGUAGGGAAUCUUGCACAAUGGGGGAAACCCUGAUGCAGCGAUGCCGCGUGAGUGAAGAAGGCCUUUGGGUUGUAAAGCUCUUUCGUCGGGGAAGAAAAUGACUGUACCCGAAUAAGAAGGUCCGGCUAA
rnacentral:rRNA from 1 species